UUGGGCAAUGGAGGCAACUCUGACCCAGCCAUGCCGCGUGCAGGAAGACUGCCCUAUGGGUUGUAAACUGCUUUUAUACAGGAAGAAACUUACCCACGUGUGGGUAACUGACGGUACUGUAAGAAUAAGGAUCGGCUAACUCCGUGCCAGCAGCCGCGGUAAUACGGAGGAUCCAAGCGUUAUCCGGAAUCAUUGGGUUUAAAGGGUCCGUAGGUGGAUUAAUAAGUCAGAGGUGAAAUCCUGCAGCUCAACUGUAGAACUGCCUUUGAUACUGUUAAUCUUGAGUCAUUAUGAAGUAGUCAGAAUGAGUAGUGUAGCGGUGAAAUGCAUAGAUAUUACUCAGAAUACCGAUUGCGAAGGCAGAUUACUAAUAAUGUACUGACACUGAGGGACGAAAGCGUGGGGAGCGAACAGGAUUAGAUACCCUGGUAGUCCACGCCCUAAACGAUGUCAACUAGUUGUUGGAUCUUUUCUGAUUUGGUAACGAAGCUAACGCGUGAAGUUGACCGCCUGGGGAGUACGGCCGCAAGGUUAAAACUCAAAGGAAUUGACGGGGACCCGCACAAGCGGUGGAUGAUGUGGAUUAAUUCGAUGCAACGCGAAAAACCUUACCUACCCUUGACAUGUCAGGAAUUUUGCAGAGAUGCGAAAGUGCUCGAAAGAGAACCUGAACACAGGUGCUGCAUGGCUGUCGUCAGCUCGUGUCGUGAGAUG
rnacentral:rRNA from 1 species